GAAGUGGCUGCUGCAAUUCAGUGGUAAAGCAUCUGCCUCUCACGCUGAAGAUCGCAAGUUCAAUCCCUGGCAUCGGUA
rnacentral:tRNA from 1 species